rnacentral:rRNA from 1 species
GGAGGGGGCCAGCGUUGUUCGGAAUCAUUGGGCGUAAAGGGCGCGUAGGCGGCCGAGCAAGUCAGAGGUGAAAUACUCCGGCUCAACUGGGGAAUUGCCUCUGAAACUGCUCGGCUUGAGUCCUGGAGAGGGUAGUGGAAUUCCCAGUGUAGCGGUGAAAUGCGUAGAUACUGGGAGGAACACCGGUGGCGAAGGCGGCUACCUGGACAGGUACUGACGCUGAGGCGCGAAAGCUAGGGGAGCAAACAGGAUUAGAUACCCUGGUAGUCCUAGCUGUAAACGAUGGGCACUUGGUGUUGCGGGUAUCGACCCCCGCAGUGCCGAAGCUAACGCAUUAAGUGCCCCGCCUGGGGAGUACGGUCGCAAGGCUG